CACGUAGGGGGCAAGCGUUGUCCGGAUUUAUUGGGCGUAAAGAGCUCGUAGGCGGCUCGGUAAGUCGGGUGUGAAAUUUCGAGGCUCAACCUCGAGACGCCACCCGAUACUGCUGUGGCUAGAGUCCGGUAGGGGAGCGUGGAAUUCCUGGUGUAGCGGUGAAAUGCGCAGAUAUCAGGAGGAACACCAGCGGCGAAGGCGGCGCUCUGGGCCGGUACUGACGCUGAGGAGCGAAAGCGUGGGGAUCAAACAGG
rnacentral:rRNA from 1 species